rnacentral:rRNA from 1 species
GACGAACGCUGGCGGCGUGCUUAACACAUGCAAGUCGAACGAGAGGACAAGAGAAGCUUGCUUCUUUUGAAAUCGAGUGGCAAACGGGUGAGUAACACGUAAACAACCUGCCUUCAGGAUGGGGACAACAGACGGAAACGACUGCUAAUACCGAAUACGCUUGGAAGACCGCAUGAUUUUCCAAGGAAAGGGUGGCCUCUACCUGUAAGCUAUCGCCUGAAGAAGGGUUUGCGUCUGAUUAGGCAGUUGGUGAGGUAACGGCCCACCAAACCUACGAUCAGUAGCCGGUCUGAGAGGAUGAACGGCCACACUGGGACUGAGACACGGCCCAGACUCCUACGGGAGGCAGCAGUGGGGAAUCUUCCGCAAUGGACGAAAGUCUGACGGAGCAACGCCGCGUGAACGAUGACGGCCUUCGGGUUGUAAAGUUCUGUUAUACGGGACGAAUGGUGCGACGGUCAAUACCCGUCGUAAGUGACGGUACCGUAAGAGAAAGCCACGGCUAACUACGUGCCAGCAGCCGCGGUAAUACGUAGGUGGCAAGCGUUGUCCGGAAUUAUUGGGCGUAAAGGGCGCGCAGGCGGCGUCGUAAGUCGGUCUU